CCUACGGGAGGCAGCCGUGAGUAAUAUUGGUCAAUGGACGAGAGUCUGAACCAGCCAAGUAGCGUGAAGGCUGACUGCCCUAUGGGUUGUAAACUUCUUUUAUAUGGGAAUAAAAUGUUCCACGUGUGGGAUUUUGUAUGUACCAUAUGAAUAAGGAUAGGCUAACUCCGUGCCAGCAGCCGCGGUAAUACGGAGGAUCCGAGCGUUAUCCGGAUUUAUUGGGUUUAAAGGGAGCGUAGGUGGAUUGUUAAGUCAGUUGUGAAAGUUUGCGGCUCAACCGUAAAAUUGCAGUUGAAACUGGCAGUCUUGAGUACAGUAGAGGUGGGCGGAAUUCGUGGUGUAGCGGUGAAAUGCUUAGAUAUCACGAAGAACUCCGAUUGCGAAGGCAGUUCACUGGACUGCAACUGACACUGAGGCUCGAAAGUGUGGGUAUCAAACAGGAUUAGAUACCCCAGUAGUC
rnacentral:rRNA from 1 species